GAUGAACGCUAGCGGCAGGCCUAAUACAUGCAAGUCGAGGGGGCAGCGCGGUAGCAAUACUGGCGGCGACCGGCGCACGGGUGCGUAACACGUAUGCAACCUACCUUCAACUGGAGGAUAGCCCGGGGAACUCGGAUUAAUACUCCAUAACACAGGGAUCCCGCAUGGGAAUAUUGUUAAAGCUACGGCGGUUGAAGAUGGGCAUGCGUUCGAUUAGCUAGUUGGUGUAGGUAACGGCUCACCAAGGCUACGAUCGAUAAGGGGGUCUGAGAGGAUGAUCCCCCACACUGGUACUGAGAUACGGACCAGACUCCUACGGGAGGCAGCAGUA
rnacentral:rRNA from 1 species